UUAAGCGACUAAGCGUACACGGUGGAUGCCCUGGCAGUCAGAGGCGAUGAAGGACGUGCUAAUCUGCGAUAAGCGUCGGUAAGGUGAUAUGAACCGUUAUAACCGGCGAUUUCCGAAUGGGGAAACCCAGUGUGAUUCGUCACACUAUCAUUAACUGAAUCCAUAGGUUAAUGAGGCGAACCGGGGGAACUGAAACAUCUAAGUACCCCGAGGAAAAGAAAUCAACCGAGAUUCCCCCAGUAGCGGCGAGCGAACGGGGAGCAGCCCAGAGCCUGAAUCAGUGUGUGUGUUAGUGGAAGCGUCUGGAAAGGCGCGCGAUACAGGGUGACAGCCCCGUACACAAAAAUGCACAUAUUGUGAGCUCGAUGAGUAGGGCGGGACACGUGGUAUCCUGUCUGAAUAUGGGGGGACCAUCCUCCAAGGCUAAAUACUCCUGACUGACCGAUAGUGAACCAGUACCGUGAGGGAAAGGCGAAAAGAACCCCGGCGAGGGGAGUGAAAAAGAACCUGAAACCGUGUACGUACAAGCAGUGGGAGCACGCUUAGGCGUGUGACUGCGUACCUUUUGUAUAAUGGGUCAGCGACUUAUAUUCUGUAGCAAGGUUAACCGAAUAGGGGAGCCGAAGGGAAACCGAGUCUUAACUGGGCGUUAAGUUGCAGGGUAUAGACCCGAAACCCGGUGAUCUAGCCAUGGGCAGGUUGAAGGUUGGGUAACACUAACUGGAGGACCGAACCGACUAAUGUUGAAAAAUUAGCGGAUGACUUGUGGCUGGGGGUGAAAGGCCAAUCAAACCGGGAGAUAGCUGGUUCUCCCCGAAAGCUAUUUAGGUAGCGCCUCGUGAAUUCAUCUCCGGGGGUAGAGCACUGUUUCGGCAAGGGGGUCAUCCCGACUUACCAACCCGAUGCAAACUGCGAAUACCGGAGAAUGUUAUCACGGGAGACACACGGCGGGUGCUAACGUCCGUCGUGAAGAGGGAAACAACCCAGACCGCCAGCUAAGGUCCCAAAGUCAUGGUUAAGUGGGAAACGAUGUGGGAAGGCCCAGACAGCCAGGAUGUUGGCUUAGAAGCAGCCAUCAUUUAAAGAAAGCGUAAUAGCUCACUGGUCGAGUCGGCCUGCGCGGAAGAUGUAACGGGGCUAAACCAUGCACCGAAGCUGCGGCAGCGACGCUUAUGCGUUGUUGGGUAGGGGAGCGUUCUGUAAGCCUGUGAAGGUGUGCUGUGAGGCAUGCUGGAGGUAUCAGAAGUGCGAAUGCUGACAUAAGUAACGAUAAAGCGGGUGAAAAGCCCGCUCGCCGGAAGACCAAGGGUUCCUGUCCAACGUUAAUCGGGGCAGGGUGAGUCGACCCCUAAGGCGAGGCCGAAAGGCGUAGUCGAUGGGAAACAGGUUAAUAUUCCUGUACUUGGUGUUACUGCGAAGGGGGGACGGAGAAGGCUAUGUUGGCCGGGCGACGGUUGUCCCGGUUUAAGCGUGUAGGCUGGUUUUCCAGGCAAAUCCGGAAAAUCAAGGCUGAGGCGUGAUGACGAGGCACUACGGUGCUGAAGCAACAAAUGCCCUGCUUCCAGGAAAAGCCUCUAAGCAUCAGGUAACAUCAAAUCGUACCCCAAACCGACACAGGUGGUCAGGUAGAGAAUACCAAGGCGCUUGAGAGAACUCGGGUGAAGGAACUAGGCAAAAUGGUGCCGUAACUUCGGGAGAAGGCACGCUGAUAUGUAGGUGAAGUCCCUUGCGGAUGGAGCUGAAAUCAGUCGAAGAUACCAGCUGGCUGCAACUGUUUAUUAAAAACACAGCACUGUGCAAACACGAAAGUGGACGUAUACGGUGUGACGCCUGCCCGGUGCCGGAAGGUUAAUUGAUGGGGUCAGCGCAAGCGAAGCUCUUGAUCGAAGCCCCGGUAAACGGCGGCCGUAACUAUAACGGUCCUAAGGUAGCGAAAUUCCUUGUCGGGUAAGUUCCGACCUGCACGAAUGGCGUAAUGAUGGCCAGGCUGUCUCCACCCGAGACUCAGUGAAAUUGAACUCGCUGUGAAGAUGCAGUGUACCCGCGGCAAGACGGAAAGACCCCGUGAACCUUUACUAUAGCUUGACACUGAACAUUGAGCCUUGAUGUGUAGGAUAGGUGGGAGGCUUGGAAGUGUGGACGCCAGUCUGCAUGGAGCCGACCUUGAAAUACCACCCUUUAAUGUUUGAUGUUCUAACGUUGACCCGUAAUCCGGGUUGCGGACAGUGUCUGGUGGGUAGUUUGACUGGGGCGGUCUCCUCCUAAAGAGUAACGGAGGAGCACGAAGGUUGGCUAAUCCUGGUCGGACAUCAGGAGGUUAGUGCAAUGGCAUAAGCCAGCUUGACUGCGAGCGUGACGGCGCGAGCAGGUGCGAAAGCAGGUCAUAGUGAUCCGGUGGUUCUGAAUGGAAGGGCCAUCGCUCAACGGAUAAAAGGUACUCCGGGGAUAACAGGCUGAUACCGCCCAAGAGUUCAUAUCGACGGCGGUGUUUGGCACCUCGAUGUCGGCUCAUCACAUCCUGGGGCUGAAGUAGGUCCCAAGGGUAUGGCUGUUCGCCAUUUAAAGUGGUACGCGAGCUGGGUUUAGAACGUCGUGAGACAGUUCGGUCCCUAUCUGCCGUGGGCGCUGGAGAACUGAGGGGGGCUGCUCCUAGUACGAGAGGACCGGAGUGGACGCAUCACUGGUGUUCGGGUUGUCAUGCCAAUGGCACUGCCCGGUAGCUAAAUGCGGAAGAGAUAAGUGCUGAAAGCAUCUAAGCACGAAACUUGCCCCGAGAUGAGUUCUCCCUGACCCUUUAAGGGUCCUGAAGGAACGUUGAAGACGACGACGUUGAUAGGCCGGGUGUGUAAGCGCAGCGAUGCGUUGAGCUAACCGGUACUAAUGAACCGUGAGGCUUAACCUU
rnacentral:rRNA from 1 species